CAGCAGCCGCGGGAAUACGUAGGGUGCAAGCGUUAAUCGGAAUUACUGGGCGUAAAGCGUGCGCAGGCGGUUAUAUAAGACAGAUGUGAAAUCCCCGGGCUCAACCUGGGAACUGCAUUUGUGACUGUAUAGCUAGAGUACGGCAGAGGGGGAUGGAAUUCCGCGUGUAGCAGUGAAAUGCGUAGAUAUGCGGAGGAACACCGAUGGCGAAGGCAAUCCCCUGGGCCUGUACUGACGCUCAUGCACGAAAGCGUGGGGAGCAAACAGGAUUAGAUACCCCGGUAGUCCCUGUCUCUUAACC
rnacentral:rRNA from 1 species